AUUGAACGCUGGCGGCAGGCCUAACACAUGCAAGUCGAGCGGAUGACGGGAGCUUGCUCCUUGAUUCAGCGGCGGACGGGUGAGUAAUGCCUAGGAAUCUGCCUGGUAGUGGGGGACAACGUUGCGAAAGGAACGCUAAUACCGCAUACGUCCUACGGGAGAAAGCAGGGGACCUUCGGGCCUUGCGCUACCAGAUGGGCCUAGGUCGGAUUAGCUAGUUGGUGGGGUAAUGGCUCACCAAGGCGACGAUCCGUAACUGGUCUGAGAGGAUGAUCAGUCACACUGGAACUGAGACACGGUCCAGACUCCUACGGGAGGCAGCAGUGGGGAAUAUUGGACAAUGGGCGAAAGCCUGAUCCAGCCAUGCCGCGUGUGUGAAGAAGGUCUUCGGAUUGUAAAGCACUUUAAGUUGGGAGGAAGGGCAGUAAGCUAAUACCUUGCUGUUUUGACGUUACCGACGGAAUAAGCACCGGCUAACUCUGUGCCAGCCGCCGCCGUAAUAC
rnacentral:rRNA from 1 species